AUUGAACGCUGGCGGCAUGCCUUACACAUGCAAGUCGAACGGUAACAGGUCUUCGGAUGCUGACGAGUGGCGAACGGGUGAGUAAAGUAUCGGAACAUGCCCAGUCGUGGGGGAUAACGUAGCGGAAGUUACGCUAAUACCGCAUAAGAUCUACGGAUGAAAGCGGGGGACGCGCAAGAGCCUCGUGCGACUGGCGUGGCUGAUAUCAGAUUAGGUAGUUGGUGGGGUAAAGGCCCACCAAGCCUGCGAUCUGUAGCUGGUCUGAGAGGACGACCAGCCACACUGGAACUGAGACACGGUCCAGACUCCUACGGGAGGCAGCAGUGGGGAAUUUUGGACAAUGGGCGCAAGCCUGAUCCAGCAAUGCCGCGUGCAGGACGAAGGCCUUCGGGUUGUAAACUGCUUUUGUACAGAGCGAAAAGGUCUUCUCUAAUACAGGAGGCUGAUGACGGUACUGUAAGAAUAAGCACCGGCUAACUACGUGCCAGCCGCCGCGGUAA
rnacentral:rRNA from 1 species